AUGGGGAAGGCUUUAGGACCCAGGGGACCCAAUGGAGGAUAUAAAAGAGGAAGUAGCAGCAGGUGCUCUUCAUUCCCACUGACGAGCGGCUGUGAACAAUGGUUGUGUGAGUAGGUGAAGAGCCUGAGAAGUUUUAAUUGUCUGCUACACAAACAGUUGUUUUAAACCUCUACAGCAGAGGUGCGAGUAGUGAUUUUUAGAAGACAAGCCAAGAUAAGCCAGGUGUGCAGCAAACACAGUUGUCUGCUGGAGGUAUGUUAACUUAAUAUAUUUGACAUUAAAAAAAGUAUAUUUAUGCACUAUAAUCUAAUUUAUAUUGUAUUGCCUCCUGCAGGACAGGCUGCACAUGUGAAUUUGUCACUGUUUUUUCCUCCUCUCCUCUAACACUCUUACUAAAAUAAACAGGGCCACCCGAAAAUAAAAAACAAAACACUGUAACUGAUAUGACCUGGAUCCUGUCGACAACGCCAAAUAAUGUAGCGGGUAAAAGCCACCGAGUGUUCGCUAAGGGCCUCUAUACGACUUGUGCAAACUUUCAGGCCCAAAGCUCUUACAGGAACGAGCCCAGAAUAAACGGGACAAGAGGGUCAAUAUCAGUCAAAUAUGUCAAAAUUUAUUAUUUUAAAAGAAAACACAAGGGGUUUGUAAAAGGCCUAAAACAUCAAAAUAGAGAAAAAGUCACUAACGACUGCAGUAUAGUUUUAUUGGUGCAACCUGCCAGCAAUGCAGCUAUCACCUGAGGGCUUGCUCUACCCCGGUGGUCCCAGAUGCUCGUUACUUUAAAAGAAAGAAAUCCACCCCAAAUAAAUACGAGCCCAACCGAACACUUAUCGCAUGCACUAAGUGUUUUAGUCCAGGCAAUCAUCGGUGGCACUAAAAUCACUCUUAAUAAAACUUGUUCACAGCAAAUCCACACGGAGCACCUCUAAAAGACCUAAUUCCCCUAAGGUAAGAGCCCAGCUCAGGGAUUGCACGUUGCCCGACUAAUAUUGCACCAGCCCAGUAGAAAUAAAAACAAACCCAGCAUAAAAAACAAACAGUUUUAAAAGGUGACCCUACUAAAACC